AGCGAACGCUGGCGGCAGGCUUAACACAUGCAAGUCGAGCGGGCACUUUCGGGUGUCAGCGGCGGACGGGUGAGUAACGCGGGGGAACGUGCCCUCUGGUUCGGAAUAACUCAGGGAAACUUGAGCUAAUACCGGAUACGCCCUUUUGGGGAAAGGCUUGCUGCGGGAGGAUCGGCCCGCGUCUGAUUAGCUAGUUGGUGAGGUAACGGCUCACCAAGGCGACGAUCAGUAGCUGGUCUGAGAGGAUGAUCAGCCACACUGGGACUGAGACACGGCCCAGACUCCUACGGGAGGCAGCAGUGGGGAAUAUUGGACAAUGGGCGCAAGCCUGAUCCAGCCAUGCCGCGUGAGUGAUGAAGGCCUUAGGGUUGUAAAGCUCUUUUAUCCGGGACGAUAAUGACGGUACCGGAGGAAUAAGCCCCGGCUAACUUCGUG
rnacentral:rRNA from 1 species